rfam:Botryotinia fuckeliana BcDW1 unplaced genomic scaffold Scaffold_395, whole genome shotgun sequence.
UCCCUGCUGGCGCAAUGGUAGCGUGCAAGACUCCUAAUCUUGAGGCUACAGGUUCGAGUCCUGUGUAGGGAG